rnacentral:rRNA from 1 species
UACGUAGGUGGCAAGCGUUAUCCGGAUUUAUUGGGUGUAAAGGGCGUGUAGGCGGGAGCGCAAGUCAGAUGUGAAAACUCAGGGCUCAACCCUGAGCCUGCAUUUGAAACUGUGUUUUUUGAGUGCUGGAGAGGCAAUCGGAAUUCCGUGUGUAGCGGUGAAAUGCGUAGAUAUACGGAGGAACACCAGUGGCGAAGGCGGAUUGCUGGACAGUAACUGACGCUGAGGCGCGAAAGCGUGGGGAGCAAACAGG